rnacentral:rRNA from 1 species
UACGUACAAGCAGUGGGAGCACCUUCGGGUGUGACUGCGUACCUUUUGUAUAAUGGGUCAGCGACUUAUAUUCUGUAGCAAGGUUAACCGUAUAGGGGAGCCGCAGGGAAACCGAGUCUUAACUGGGCGUUAAGUUGCAGGGUAUAGACCCGAAACCCGGUGAUCUAGCCAUGGGCAGGUUGAAGGUUGGGUAACACUAACUGGAGGACCGAACCGACUAAUGUUGAAAAAUUAGCGGAUGACUUGUGGCUGGGGGUGAAAGGCCAAUCAAACCGGGAGAUAGCUGGUUCUCCCCGAAAGCUAUUUAGGUAGCGCCUCGUGAACUCAUCUUCGGGGGUAGAGCACUGUUUCGGCUAGGGGGUCAUCCCGACUUACCAACCCGAUGCAAACUACGAAUACCGAAGAAUGUUAUCACGGGAGACACACGGCGGGUGCUAACGUCCGUCGUGAAGAGGGAAACAACCCAGACCGCCAGCUAAGGUCCCAAAGUCAUGGUUAAGUGGGAAACGAUGUGGGAAGGCACAGACAGCCAGGAUGUUGGCUUAGAAGCAGCCAUCAUUUAAAGAAAGCGUAAUAGCUCACUGGUCGAGUCGGCCUGCGCGGAAGAUGUAACGGGGCUAAACCAUGCACCGAAGCUGCGGCAGCGACACUAUGUGUUGUUGGGUAGGGGAGCGUUCUGUAAGCCUGCGAAGGUGUGCUGUGAGGCAUGCUGGAGGUAUCAGAAGUGCGAAUGCUGACAUAAGUAACGAUAAAGCGGGUGAAAAGCCCGCUCGCCGGAAGACCAAGGGUUCCUGUCCAACGUUAAUCGGGGCAGGGUGAGUCGACCCCUAAGGCGAGGCCGAAAGGCGUAGUCGAUGGGAAACAGGUUAAUAUUCCUGUACUUGGUGUUACUGCGAAGGGGGGACGGAGAAGGCUAUGUUAGCCGGGCGACGGUUGUCCCGGUUUAAGCAUGUAGGCUGGUUAUCCAGGCAAAUCCGGAUAAUCAAGGCUGAGGUGUGAUGACGAGGCACUACGGUGCUGAAGUAACAAAUGCCCUGCUUCCAGGAAAAGCCUCUAAGCAUCAGGUAACAUCAAAUCGUACCCCAAACCGACACAGGUGGUCAGGUAGAGAAUACCAAGGCGCUUGAGAGAACUCGGGUGAAGGAACUAGGCAAAAUGGUGCCGUAACUUCGGGAGAAGGCACGCUGGUGUGUAGGUGAAGUCCCUGCGGAUGGAGCUGAGACCAGUCGAAGAUACCAGCUGGCUGCAACUGUUUAUUAAAAACACAGCACUGUGCAAACACGAAAGUGGACGUAUACGGUGUGACGCCUGCCCGGUGCCGGAAGGUUAAUUGAUGGGGUUAUCCGUAAGGAGAAGCUCUUGAUCGAAGCCCCGGUAAACGGCGGCCGUAACUAUAACGGUCCUAAGGUAGCGAAAUUCCUUGUCGGGUAAGUUCCGACCUGCACGAAUGGCGUAAUGAUGGCCAGGCUGUCUCCACCCGAGACUCAGUGAAAUUGAACUCGCUGUGAAGAUGCAGUGUACCCGCGGCAAGACGGAAAGACCCCGUGAACCUUUACUAUAGCUUGACACUGAACAUUGAGCCUUGAUGUGUAGGAUAGGUGGGAGGCUUUGAAGCGUGGACGCCAGUCUGCGUGGAGCCAACCUUGAAAUACCACCCUUUAAUGUUUGAUGUUCUAACGUUGGCCCCUGACCGGGGUUGCGGACAGUGUCUGGUGGGUAGUUUGACUGGGGCGGUCUCCUCCCAAAGCGUAACGGAGGAGCACGAAGGUUAGCUAAUCCUGGUCGGACAUCAGGAGGUUAGUGCAAUGGCAUAAGCUAGCUUGACUGCGAGCGUGACGGCGCGAGCAGGUGCGAAAGCAGGUCAUAGUGAUCCGGUGGUUCUGAAUGGAAGGGCCAUCGCUCAACGGAUAAAAGGUACUCCGGGGAUAACAGGCUGAUACCGCCCAAGAGUUCAUAUCGACGGCGGUGUUUGGCACCUCGAUGUCGGCUCAUCACAUCCUGGGGCUGAAGUAGGUCCCAAGGGUAUGGCUGUUCGCCAUUUAAAGUGGUACGCGAGCUGGGUUUAGAACGUCGUGAGACAGUUCGGUCCCUAUCUGCCGUGGGCGCUGGAGAAUUGAGGGGGGCUGCUCCUAGUACGAGAGGACCGGAGUGGACGCAUCACUGGUGUUCGGGUUGUCAUGCCAAUGGCACUGCCCGGUAGCUAAAUGCGGAAGAGAUAAGUGCUGAAAGCAUCUAAGCACGAAACUUGCCCCGAGAUGAGUUCUCCCUGAGACU